rnacentral:tRNA from 1 species
CCGGUGGCUAACUUUUUCUUAGGAAUGAGAAAGAGGACUUGAUCUAAUUUCUUAUUAUUUAUGGACGUUGAUA